rnacentral:rRNA from 1 species
AACGAACGCUGGCGGCAGGCUUAACACAUGCAAGUCGAGCGCCCCGCAAGGGGAGCGGCAGACGGGUGAGUAACGCGUGGGAAUCUACCCAUCUCUACGGAAUAACGCAUGGAAACGUGUGCUAAUACCGUAUACGUCCUUCGGGAGAAAGAUUUAUCGGAGAUGGAUGAGCCCGCGUUGGAUUAGCUAGCUGGUGGGGUAAAGGCCUACCAAGGCGACGAUCCAUAGCUGGUCUGAGAGGAUGAUCAGCCACACUGGGACUGAGACACGGCCCAGACCCCUACGGGAGGCAGCAGUGGGGAAUAUUGGACAAUGGGCGCAAGCCUGAUCCAGCAAUGCCGCGUGAGUGAUGAAGGCCCUAGGGUUGUAAAGCUCUUUCACCGGUGAAGAUAAUGACGGUAACCGGAGAAGAAGCCCCGGCUAACUUCGUGCCAGCCGCCGCCGUAACAC